AAUCCGGUUGAUCCUGCCGGACCUGACUGCUAUCGGAUUGAUACUAAGCCAUGCGAGUCAUUGUAGCAAUACAAGGCAUACGGCUCAGUAACGCGUAGUCAACCUACCCUAUGGACGGGGAUAACCUCGGGAAACUGAGAAUAAUACCCGAUAGAACAUUAUUCCUGGAAUGGUUUAUGUUUCAAAUAAUUUAUUGCCGUAGGAUGGGACUGCGGCCUAUCAGUUUGUUGGUGAGGUAAUGGCCCACCAAGACUAUUACAGGUACGGGCUCUGAGAGGAGUAGCCCGGAGAUGGGUACUGAGACACGGACCCAGGCCCUAU
rnacentral:rRNA from 1 species